GGCAGUGUGUCAUAGUGGUUUGAUUGUUGGAUUAUGACUCUGGAGACUAGGGUUCAGAUCCCUACUUGGCCA